rnacentral:rRNA from 1 species
GACGAACGCUGGCGGCGUGCCUAAUACAUGCAAGUCGAACGGUUUAGUUCCAAGAGGCUUGCCUUUUGGAACUAGACAGUGGCGGACGGGUGAGUAACACGUAGGCAACCUACCUGUCAAACCGGGAUAACCUCGGGAAACCGAAGCUAAACCCGGAUAAGCUCCUUUUUCGCAUGAAGGGGGAGUGAAAAGGUGCGACCUGAUGACAGAUGGGCCUGCGGCGCAUUAGCUAGUAGGUAGGGUAACGGCCUACCUAGGCGAUGAUGCGUAGCCGACCUGGGAGGGCGUACGGCCACACUGGGACUGAGAUACGGCCCAGACUCCUACGGGAGGCAGCAGUAGGGAAUCUUCGGCAAUGGGCGAAAGCCUGACCGAGCAACGCCGCGUGAGUGAGGAAGGCCUUCGGGUUGUAAAACUCUGUUGUUUGGGAAGAAGGGAAAGGGUAGGACCCUUAGGUGACGGUACCAAACGAGAAAGCCCCGGCUAACUACGUG